GUUAACUGGAGUCUCUGGUGCUG
rnacentral:siRNA from 1 species